rnacentral:rRNA from 1 species
CCUACGGGAGGCUGCAGUGGGGAAUAUUGGGCAAUGGGCGAAAGCCUGAUCCAGCCAUGCCGCGUGUGUGAAGAAGGCCUUCGGGUUGUAAAGCACUUUCAGUGGGGAAGAAAGCCUUGGGGCUAAUACCCUCGAGGAAGGACAUCACCCACAGAAGAAGCACCGGCUAACUCCGUGCCAGCAGCCGCGGUAAUACGGAGGGUGCGAGCGUUAAUCGGAAUUACUGGGCGUAAAGCGCGCGUAGGCGGUCUGAUAAGCCGGUUGUGAAAGCCCCGGGCUCAACCUGGGAACGGCAUCCGGAACUGUCAGGCUAGAGUGCAGGAGAGGAAGGUAGAAUUCCCGGUGUAGCGGUGAAAUGCGUAGAGAUCGGGAGGAAUACCAGUGGCGAAGGCGGCCUUCUGGACUGACACUGACGCUGAGGUGCGAAAGCGUGGGUAGCAAACAGGAUUAGAUACCCCGGUAGUC